rnacentral:rRNA from 1 species
UUUUUCAUUAUUAUUUUUGCUGCACGCGAGAAACAUGACGCACGUGCGCGGUAAAUAUUGAAGGCACGUGCGGGGUAAAUAUUAAAUGCCGUUUCUUAUUUCUGACGUUUUGCGGUGAGUUGCAGCUUGCGAUCGAUAUUGACGCAUGUUGGCGCGGCGUUAUGGUGGGAGAGGCACCACUUUCGAGAAGCGUUCAACGUCGUGUGAAAACUCGUGGCAAUGUGGGGACGGAGAUGGAGGGGUGAAAACCGUGGGAAACGUGGGAACGAUUGUCGAGGUGGAGAUAAAGUAGUAUGGUGAAGUAUACAAUGGUGGCAAGGAAUGGACGGUAGAGUUUGUAGUGGAGCUCGGAGGGGCGAGCAUAAGGGACGAUGGGAUAAGAAAGGAUCCCAUCAGAACUCCGAAGUUACGCGUGCUUGGGCGAGAGUAGUACUAGGAUAGGUGACCUCCUGGGAAGUCCUCGUGUUGCAUUCCC